GUUUUGAUUAUGGCUCAGAUUGAACGCUGGCGGAAUGCUUUACACAUGCAAGUCGAACGGCAGCAUAGAGAGCUUGCUCUCUGAUGGCGAGUGGCGAACGGGUGAGUAAUAUAUCGGAACGUGCCUAGUAAUGGGGAAUAACUAGCUGAAAGGUUAGCUAAUGCCGCAUACGACCUACGGGUGAAAGCAGGGGAUCUUCGGACCUUGCGUUAUUAGAGCGGCCGAUAUCUGAUUAGCUUGUUGGUGGGGUAAUGGCCUACCAAGGCGACGAUCAGUAGCUGGUCUGAGAGGACGAUCAGCCACACUGGAACUGAGACACGGUCCAGACUCCUACGGGAGGCAGCAGUGGGGAAUUUUGGACAAUGGGGGCAACCCUGAUCCAGCCAUUCCGCGUGAGUGAAGAAGGCCUUCGGGUUGUAAAGCUCUUUCGCAAGAGAAGAAAACUUGCUAUCUAAUAAAUAGUAAGUAUGACGGUAUCUGACA
rnacentral:rRNA from 1 species